rnacentral:tRNA from 1 species
GGAGAGGUUCGGCCUGCCCCGGUAGAGGGCCUUCCGAAGUCUUGAAAACUGGUGGGCAGAGAUGUCUCUAGGGUUCGAAUCCCUAGCCCUCCGCCA